GAAGUGCGAUAAGCAAUGCGAAUUGCAGAACCGUGAGUCAUCAGAUUUUUGAACGCAACUGGCGCCGGCUGGCUCUCCAGUCGGCAUGCUUGUUUCAGUGUCUUUUUAUCUCAUCACCCAAAUCUUAAUGCGAGAGAUACCCUUCUCUUGUCAAGCAUGAAAGCACUCUGCGCUCUGCGAGCGAUUUCGACUUGUUCGAGGUCGCACUCAAUGCAGCGGUCACAUUGUUUACAGUGUGAACUCAUUGAGAGUAGAGGCAGUGCAGCCUUACAGCUGCCAGUGCUUAGACACCCAAACUUUCUUUGUAUCUGAAAUCAAGCAGGAUCACCCGCUGAACUUAA
rnacentral:misc_RNA from 1 species